AUACGUAGGGUGCAAGCGUUAAUCGGAAUUACUGGGCGUAAAGCGUGCGCAGGCGGUUUUGUAAGACAGAGGUGAAAUCCCCGGGCUCAACCUGGGAACUGCCUUUGUGACUGCAAGGCUAGAGUACGGCAGAGGGGGAUGGAAUUCCGCGUGUAGCAGUGAAAUGCGUAGAUAUGCGGAGGAACACCGAUGGCGAAGGCAAUCCCCGGGGCCUGUACUGACGCUCAUGCACGAAAGCGUGGGGAGCAAACAGGAGUAGAUGCCCUGGUAGUCCACGCCCUAAACGAUGUCAACUGGUUGUUGGGUCUUCAUUGACUCAGUAACGAAGCUAACGCGUGAAGUUGACCGCCUGGGGAGUACGGCCGCAAGGUUGAAACUCAAAUGAAUUGGCGGGG
rnacentral:rRNA from 1 species